rnacentral:tmRNA from 2 species
GGGGCCGAUUUGGAUUCGACGCCGGUUACAAAACUCUGUGGUGCAUGCCGUGAGGACAGCGAAUCACGUAAAUCCAAAGCUGUUAACUUAUAGUUGCCAACGACGACAACUACGCUCUAGCGGCCUAAACCCCGUUAGCGGUUGCUACCGGAUGCUUGUAAACGGGACGCAACCGUCAGAUAGAACAAGCUAGCUGUGACGUUUGUCUGAGACCGAUCAGCGAAACCUUUAAUCAGAAUCGCCAACUACGUCCUGACCGUUGGGCUGUAAGCGGCUAAAUCAAUAAACGGAAGCUAAGCAUGUAGAGCCCCGAGCGGCGGACUGGCGGACGGGGGUUCAAUUCCCCCCGGCUCCACCA